rnacentral:rRNA from 1 species
AUGGCUUCAUCCGGUUCCACGACGAGGCCGCGAUGCGCUGACCAAGAGGACAUGCCGAACAAGUGUGGUGGCAAGUUGUUCAAGACGAAGGAGAAGGAUGUGAAAACCCCAUCAUGUUGGUGUGGAGAUGAGUGCAGGGUGAAGGUCUCAACUGACCGGAAGAAGUCGUGGACGGAAGGAAGAAGAUAUUUUGUGUGUCCGAACUAUGCACAUGAUCGCGCGCGUCCCACUAACGCCUAUGACGUCCCACUGGUAUGUUAG